UUCUACUCCUUGUUGCUUUUUGCUGCUAACAGUGAAUAAAUGAAAAUGCUUUUUCCCUGGUCGUUCCCUUAAAUGUGCUCACAGCCUUUGCUUAUCUAGCAUGUAUAGGCAAGUUGACACUUUUCCCAGCAUAAAGAGCAUAGAAAUGCUGGCAGCUAUAAAGCUCUGGAACAAAUAUCCAAGCUGAUUCUCACAAAUGGACACACAAGUGCUUAGGUCUCUGUUAGGGAUUCUAAAUCCCAGAAAGUAUGCCAAACAGCUGUUCUGCUAUUGUCCCAACUUUGCCUUCACUGGGCAAUAAAAUGAGUAUUAUUUGCUUUUUGUAAUCACUAUUUAUUUCUGCUUUGCAGUUGACACAAACAUUGAAAAUAGCUGGUCAGAAAAGACUUCAUGAUCCAUCUGCCAAAUGACCACAUCAGUACAUCUGUGGCACCUUGCAGAUUAAGGCACCAAGCAAAAUAAAGACACAUAUGGUGCACAGGAACAGGACUUGGACUGUACAUGACAGUUAAUUGAAUGAAGAUUGCAAAUCUGGCCUUGGGAUAGCAUUCAAAAUGUACAAAAAAUAUCCAGUCAAACUCAGUGAAAUCUCCACAGCUGAUGAUGACUCAACGUGCUCUAAGCACUGGCAUUGGAAAAAAAAAAAAAAGCAAACUAGCAAAACUUGUAGAAGUUAUUAUCCUUUCUGCCUCUUCCUGCUGGCUCUGGGAAGCACAAGUUAUGAUUACUUCACAUGUUUACCAUUUUCAGAUCUCUCUCCCCUUUGUCAGGAAAGGUACUUGCUGAGCCUGAAUGAAGAGUAAGAAAGUUCUAACUAGGUUAUUUGCUGGACUGUUAUGGUGCUUAAGUUUCAGUAAAGUGCAGCAAAGAAGAACCCAUUCUAGUGCCAAGACAGCUUAAAAAGGUUGCCUCACAGCCCUCGUUGCUCUGAAUACCCUGAGGUACAGCUGUACAUGGAAGUCUCCACUAUUAUUAGGAGGGUUAUUUGUUUUUCACUGGCUUGCACACUGUUCUGAAAAGAAGACAGAAGGCCAAAAGACCACCAGAAUAUUUAUCCCCAUAAAGAAAACCAGUUGUUCUGGAGUAUCAAACAUGUGCAUAAGACAAUGUGGAUCACCAGUUUCCAUCUCAGAAAAAAUAAAGUGCAUGUGUGCAUGAGUGCAGUGGUAUUACAUCUAAUAGAAACAUAGAGAAGAUAGCUGAUUAAUUUGUGGAUUAAACAUAAUAGUUUCAUUUUCCUUAGGUUUAUGUCUUAGAGAGAAUCAAAAAUUGAAAAAUUAAAAUUAUCCUAAAUAAUAAGUAACUUAAAACUUUUGUUUAUUACAAUAUUUUGCCACUAAAAUAUGUGGAUUGCAGUUAUUUGACAGCUCUAAUGACUCAUGACCAUGUCCAGUGGACUACAGCCAUAUGAACCCACUGUACCAUCUAUCCAGGAAGAAAAGGAUACCUGAAAAAAAUACAUUAUUGAAUUUGAGUGAAGGCAUCUGAGUUCCAGUGGUGGAGAAAUAGAUUGACUAUGGUAUUGUCAAAGCAUAAUUUUAAGCCAUAGUGGCCCACAUCUAGUGCCAAAAAAGUGGUUCUGUACAGAACUUUACGUGUUAUAGAUAAAAUCAACUCUUUCUUUGAUUUCACUUGACUUUGUUUGCUUUAACCACUGAGAAAUGGAUGCAUGCUUACAAACCAAUUAGCUCAUGUGGGAGAGGUAUGGGAAACACAAGGAAAAGCUCUCUGAUUUAAAUUGCUUAGAAAAAAAAAUGGGCAUUUCCAACACUAAGGUUUUUUUGUUUUUAUGUUUUUUAGGAAAGAGUUUUUUAAAGCUAUUCCAUUACAGAUAUUUAAUAAAGUAGUAAUGAAUGCCAUUCAAAUGAUACCUCACCUGUUUAGAGAGGAAUGAGGUUAAGAAAGCUAUUGCUUAUCCAUCCUGGCUGUGAACUGUGAGCAUUUGGCUGAAACUCAGUGGCAGUAGAACCUUAUUCCCAAGAUUCAGACUUUGAGCAGUCCUCUCCUCCUUUGUCCACAGAAGAAUAUUUUAUUUGCCUGUAUCAUGUGACAGACAUUGCAUAUAGCAGAGUGACUGAUGUAUAGAUGGUACUCCCAGUGUCGUACUAAAUAAUGAAACUACUACACAUAAGAGAUCUGUAGAUACUGGCUACACAGCAGGCCAAGCAGUAGCAGAAAACUUCCAACUGAGGAGGCAAGAGAAAUUACAGAACCAGAGCUAAGCCUGGUUUUUAACCAGAGGUAAGCUGCAGAGCAUUGUGAUAUAAUAUCCUACAAGGUACCUAAGUUGUCAAAGUCAUAAUUGAAUCGUCUAUUAUCCUGACAUCUACAGUGCAGUAAUUUAUUUUUAUUUUUAUUUUUUUUUUUUUUUACUGGGUGAAUAAUUAUAAAGUCAUGUUAGAACACAUAUCUCAUACAAGGACCUUCAGUUUCUUUGCUCCUUUUCUUAUGUGUGGGGUUACAUGUGCCUAUGAUUCUGGAUAGGUGUUAGCUGUUCCAAGCAUUUUUGGACAGAAUAUCAGUGAAAUAAGGAGAAUAAGUGCACAGACAAGCAACUCACAAUUCAAUUUUUAUUGAAUGUUUUGAGGAAGGUUUAUUAAAAUGUUGUUGUUGCUGUUGUUUGGUUCCUUUGAUGCUUUAUUUUUGUAUGUAAUACUAUGAAAAUUGUGAGGGUCUUUGCUGCUGAAACUACCUUGGUUGUACACAAAUACAACCUAGAACAUUUAUCAAAUCUCUAUGUUUUCCAUACCAAAGCUUCAACAAGGUAAUAAUGUAUUUAUAUUGAUUGAAAUGCAUAGUAAUAUUUUAAAGUUAUAUAAUAUUGAAUGUAAUAUUUUAUUAGAACAUAUCUAAUAUUAAGGUUUCCUUUGAAAAUACCAUAUGUUUAUACCUGUCAAUGUUCUCAAAAUCUGUUUUAUUGUAAUAAAAAAUGUAAUAAAAUGUAACCCUUUGUGACAUGA